rnacentral:rRNA from 1 species
GACGAACGCUGGCGGCGUGCUUAACACAUGCAAGUCGAACGAAGAGCGAUGGAAGCUUGCUUCUAUCAAUCUUAGUGGCGAACGGGUGAGUAACGCGUAAUCAACCUGCCCUUCAGAGGGGGACAACAGUUGGAAACGACUGCUAAUACCGCAUACGAUCUAAUCUCGGCAUCGAGGAUAGAUGAAAGGUGGCCUCUACAUGUAAGCUAUCACUGAAGGAGGGGAUUGCGUCUGAUUAGCUAGUUGGAGGGGUAACGGCCCACCAAGGCGAUGAUCAGUAGCCGGUCUGAGAGGAUGAACGGCCACAUUGGGACUGAGACACGGCCCAGACUCCUACGGGAGGCAGCAGUGGGGAAUCUUCCGCAAUGGACGAAAGUCUGACGGAGCAACGCCGCGUGAGUGAUGACGGCCUUCGGGUUGUAAAGCUCUGUUAAUCGGGACGAGAGGCCUUCUUGCGAAUAGUGAGAAGGAUUGACGGUACCGGAAUAGAAAGCCACGGCUAACUACGUG